CCUACGGGAGGCAGCAGUGGGGAAUAUUGCACAAUGGGGGAAACCCUGAUGCAGCGACGCCGCGUGAGUGAAGAAGUAUUUCGGUACGUAACGCUCUAUCAGCAGGGAAGAAAAUGACGGUACCUGACUAAGAAGCCCAGGCUAACUCCGUGCCAGCAGCCGCGGUAAUACGUAGGGGGCAAGCGUUAUACGGAUUUACUGGGUGUAAAGGGAGCGUAGACGGCAGCGCAAGUCUGGAGUGAAAUGCCAUGGCUUAACCAUGGAACUGCCUUGGAAACUGUGCAGCUAGAGUGCAGGAGAGGUAAGCGGAAUGCCUAGUGUAGCGGUGAAAUGCGUAGAGAUUAGGCAGAACACCAGUGGCGAAGGCAGCUUACUGGACUGUAACUGACGUUGAGGCUCGAAAGCGUGGGGAGCAAACAGGAUUAGAUACCCCUGUAGUC
rnacentral:rRNA from 1 species